rnacentral:snRNA from 2 species
GUACACCUUCCACCGUUAACACAUAUACUAAAAUUGGAAUGAUACAGAGAAGAUUAACAUGCUCCUUGCACAAGGAUAACAUGCAAAUUUGUGAAGUGUUUCAUUUAAAA